AUUGAACGCUGGCGGCAGGCCUAACACAUGCAAGUCGAACGAGUGGCGGACGGGUGAGUAAUGUCUGGGAAACUGCCCGAUGGCGGGGGAUAACUACUGGAAACGGUAGCUAAUACCGCAUACCAUCGGAUGUGCCCAGAUGGGAUUAGCUAGUAGGUGGGGUAAUGGCUCACCUAGGCGACGAUCCCUAGCUGGUCUGGGAGGAUGACCAGCCACACUGGAACUGGGACACGGUCCAGAAUCCUACGGGAGGCAGCAGUGGGGAAUAUUGCACAAUGGGGGCAAGCCUGAUGCAGCCAUGCCGGGGGUGUGAAGAAGGCCUUCGGGUUGGAAAGCACUUUCAGCGGGGAGGCGUUACCCGCAGAAGAAGCACCGGCUAACUCCGUGCCAGCCGCCGCGGUAAUAC
rnacentral:rRNA from 1 species